rnacentral:lncRNA from 1 species
AAGCUUUUGAGCCGUUGAAUAAAUAUAAUGUUAGCAGCCGUUCUCAACAGAGACCAUAUAUUUAGAGAAGGUGCACUCAUGGGCUGAAGAAAAAGAUGCAAGUUGAUGAAGUCCAAGUGCCGAGUUUGUGCAUAUAUUAAGUUGAUUAAGUCCAUGUGCUGAGUUGGUGCUGAUAUUAUUGUUCAAGAUUUAGUGGAGUUUUGGAUUUAGUUAUAAUUUAGUUAUCUUUAUGCCCUUGAAAUAAAAAUUAUUGUUAUUUUAGUUUUUC